GACGAACGCUGGCGGCGUGCUUAACACAUGCAAGUCGAACGGAAGGGCCCUGCUUUUGUGGGGUGCUCGAGUGGCGAACGGGUGAGUAACACGUGAGUAACCUGCCCUUGACUUUGGGAUAACUUCAGGAAACUGGGGCUAAUACCGGAUAGGAGCUCCUGCUGCAUGGUGGGGGUUGGAAAGUUUCGGCGGUUGGGGAUGGACUCGCGGCUUAUCAGCUUGUUGGUGGGGUAGUGGCUUACCAAGGCUUUGACGGGUAGCCGGCCUGAGAGGGUGACCGGCCACAUUGGGACUGAGAUACGGCCCAGACUCCUACGGGAGGCAGCAGUGGGGAAUAUUGCACAAUGGGCGGAAGCCUGAUGCAGCAACGCCGCGUGCGGGAUGACGGCCUUCGGGUUGUAAACCGCUUUCGCCUGUGACGAAGCGUGAGUGACGGUAAUGGGUAAAGAAGCACCGGCUAACUACGU
rnacentral:rRNA from 1 species